GAUGUAGACAUUGCUGGCUGGAUGACCAGCCACAGCCAGCUAGCUUGAGUCCAAGGCCUCCUCAGGCACUGUGCUUCUGCUCUGUGGGCUGCAGCCCCAUAGCCCAGUGGGGUGGCAUGUCACAGAGGAAGGCCAGAGGGCCACCAGCCAUGCCAGGGGUGGGGCAUAGCCAGACUCAGGCCAAAGCACGGUUGCUGCCAGGCGCUGACAGGAAGAGGAGCCGCCUCAGCAGGACAAGGCCGGACCCGUGGGAAGAAAGAAGCUGGAGCAACCAGAGAUGGAGCAGAGCUACCCCUGGCCCUCGAGGGACCAGGGCUGGGGGCCUGGCUCUUGGCAGGCAGCCUCAUCAUCUCAGGACCUGGCUAGGUCAAGGGUCAGCCCUCCCAAACAGGGUGUAGCUCUGAACUCCCCCUGGCCCCAGCACACCCUGAUAAGCAGGAUUCAGAUUGGGCAUGGGACAGGACAAAGUCUCUGAGGAGGCAUGAGUGGAGUAGUAGAGAGAACACAGGACUCUGGGUUCUGAGCCAAGCUCUGCCAUCCUGCACCCAUCUGACCCCUGGCCAGGCCUUCCCCCAACUU
rnacentral:sRNA from 1 species